AUUGAACGCUGGCGGCAUGCUUUACACAUGCAAGUCGGACGGCAGCACAGAGAAGCUUGCUUCUUGGGUGGCGAGUGGCGAACGGGUGAGUAAUAUAUCGGAACGUACCGAGUAAUGGGGGAUAACUAAUCGAAAGAUUAGCUAAUACCGCAUAUUCUCUGAGGAGGAAAGCAGGGGCCCUUCGAGCCUUGCGUUAUUCGAGCGGCCGAUAUCUGAUUAGCUAGUUGGUGGGGUAAAGGCCUACCAAGGCGACGAUCAGUAGCGGGUCUGAGAGGAUGAUUCGCCACAAUGGGACUGGGACCGGGCCCAGGCUCCUACGGGAGGCAGCAGUGGGGAAUUUUGGACAAUGGGCGCAAGCCUGAUCCAGCCAUGCCGCGUGUCUGAAGAAGGCCUUCGGGUUGUAAAGGACUUUUGUCAGGGAAGAAAAGGCUGUUGCUAAUACCGACAGCUGAUGACGGUACCUGAAGAAUAAGCACCGGCUAACUACGUG
rnacentral:rRNA from 1 species